rnacentral:rRNA from 1 species
ACCGAAUACAUUAGCAUGGGAUAAUGGAAUAGGACCCUGUCCUCCUAUUUUCAGUUGGUUUGCCGCGAGGACCAGGGUAAUGAUUAAUAGGGAUAGUUGGGGGCAUUAAUAUUUAAUUGUCAGAGGUGAAAUUCUUGGAUUUAUGAAAGAUUAACUUCUGCGAAAGCAUCUGCCAAGGAUGUUUUCAUUAAUCAAGAAAGAAAGUACCGGGAUCGAAGAAGAUCAGAUACCGUCGUAGUCUUAACCAUAAACGAUGCCGACCAGCGAUUACGAGACGUUGAAUACACAAACACCACCAUGCGCAUUGAAGGUCGUCUCUUCGUAUGUACGCUCACAAGAGGGCACCGGGCGGCUUAAACCUCGAUGGGAAAAGGCUGAAUCGACUACCCUAGCCGACUCUGUGCG